rfam:Musca domestica strain aabys unplaced genomic scaffold Scaffold18732, whole genome shotgun sequence.
AGCGCUUUGGCAGUGUGGUUAGCUGGUUGUGUAACUUGAAUUAAUAUCACAGCCACUAUCUUCACUGCCGCCGCGAU